AUGAUGUCUGGUGUUUGAGAUAGUAACAUAUAAUCUGGAAUUCUUUUCGUCUACUGUUCAGUUUAAUAGAGUAAUUAUUGAAAGUAAAAUAUGUUGCUUCAGGUGGAGAUGAAGCAAGUGAUUAAAAUAAUAGUUUAUCAAUUUAGCCGAAUAAUUGGUUGAUUUAUCAAUUUUUUAAAGUGGCACAUUGAUCCAUUUUUAAUAUAUGUCAUUUUUAAUCAAGAUUUAUAUAUAAAAUCACUUCUGUGCUUUACUAUUCCUAACAAGUGAUACCUUAAGAUAAUCAUUUAUUUUAUCAAAAGAUUUUUCAUUAUCUCACAUUCUCUAUCAAAAUCGUGUAUUAUAUAAAGUUGAUAAAGAAAAUUGCGAAUAUUUUUAUAGUGCAUGAUUUUUAUGGAGCAAAAAUGAGUGAAAAAACCAGAAGUUAAGAGGUUUAAGAGUUUCUUACUUUAAGAAAGUCAACUCAAUGUCAUUGAAACCUCGACAUGGAUUCUUGACGACAACUUGAACAAUUCAGUGUCGUGUAUACUCGAUGGCCUUGGAAAAUCUUACAUUGAUAUACGCUACGGAGAAGAUCAACAACAUAUCUUUUUCACAAUAACUGUAUAUUAUUAAUUCAUCAAAAAGACAAUUUAAAGAUUAAAUAUCAGUAAUUAAAUCACCAAAUAAAUAUAACUUCCGGCCGAUUUAUUUAAAUGAAUUUUUAAUAAUAUGUGCUGACUAUAAUUUAAUCAUACCACAUUAUAUGAACGAUCAAUGGAUCAAUUUCUAUUUUAUUGUCUCGUGGAUGAGUAAUAGCAUGCUAAAGAACACAAGUCAACAGAUAUAUCAUCCAACUAAUGACACAUCAAUAAUUAAUGUUGAUAAUUAACUAGAUAAAUUAAAAAAAAAUAUUUAUAUAUGUUGUAAUCAAGUGAAUGAUUGCUAUGAAACUUAUUAAAAUUCUUAAAGUCAUUGAAGAGGAAUAAGUAUCACAACGGAAUGCAUAUUUUGAGGUUAUAAAACUAUGUAUAAGUGGCGCCACGAUCUAGUACUAUCUUUUUAGGAAUAUUUUUUUCUUUUCACUGUUAACAUUUUUAUUUACUCCAGAUAAAUGAAUGAAUAUGUAGAUAUCAGUCUAUAAUUAAUCCAACCUAUUGACAGAUUUCAUUCUUUUGAGUAGAAUUAAUUUAUGCAUAUAGUUACAGAUAUAUAUAUAUAUAUAUAUAUAUAUAUAUAUAUAUAUAUAUAUAUAUAUAUAUAUAUAUAUAUAUAUAAUGUAAUAAAAAAACUAAAACGUAAUGAAUGUUGCGCCAAUGCAGAAGUAGUAGACUUUUUGCGCCGUAGACUCGGAGCAGGAUCGAUAGCUCGUUACUGAGAACUGAAAGUAUAGCAGUCAUUUGAGUAGAAAAAGGCAAAGGAAAAUAAGUGAAGAAUGAAGAAAUAAGAGAAAAAAAACUUCAAUUCUUACAUACUGCUGGGGUUGAGAGAAAAUGCAAAGUGUUGCAAUACAAAAGUCUAAGAUAAUUAAUAAAUUUUGCCUUCGGGUCAUUAGCAAGUAUGCUGAAGAAAAUAAUCACAUAAUAGGAUAAUGUUUAAUCUUAUUCAACUAUUUUAAUACCUUGAGAAAUGUAGCAGAUAGUUUAGGAUUACAACAUACAAAACAACUGAUGAAAAUUUGAAUUUCUUCAUUUAUAUCAUGAAUUUAUAUUUUAGAAUAUUUAAUACAUAAAUGCAUAAUGAAUAAACAAUUAUUGUUAUCAAGAUGAAUUUAAAAAAAAAAAUAAAAGACACCUGAAUAAAAACAUGAUAGAUAAGGAUGAAAAUAAAGAUAAAGUGAGAGGUAACUAGCCAAGGAUGUGGACGGUAAAUAAGAUGGUAACAAGAUGACAAAGUAUAUGUUAGCAGAAAAGGCUUGAAAUGAAAUAUUGAUCUGUGAAAUUUGCGCGCGCAACCCCUGCAGACUCAUCCCUGAUGCUUCACUGCCACCAUUUUCCUUGCACAUAUAUGGACUUUCCCAUUGUAAAUGCAGCUGGUUUCAUCUUGCAUCUUUCAAUGAAAGACUACCAAGAACUAGAAGAAUUCAACUUCAUUCCUAUUUUACAACUACAUGAUCCCUCUUAUCUUGACCGAUUUUUAAAUACACUCGAACAUAUUUUAGUGUAUUAAAUAAGAAACACUUGAGAAAUCAUUUUUUUCUUUUCAUCUGGAAACCCUUCUGUAUGAGUCUGGGAUUUGUUGCUAAAUUCCUAAGUUUAACAAAAAUCUGAGACUAUUUUGAAGAAACAAUACGGAAGAUAAAGAUCUUAAAUUACUUAGUAAACAAGAUCUAGAUGAAAUUCUUUGAAAAAGUCUAAAAAAAUUUAUUCUCUAAUGACAAUAGCGUUGAGAUUGAUUUACUUUAUUUAUCAUAGUAUAACGAAAUAGAUGAAAAGUAUGUAGGCCAACGAUUGUCUAUAAAAAAAAUGUUUGAUAAUGAUAGUUUGGAAAAUAAAUUUUUUCCCCCCUACAGAUAAAGCAUUAAAUAU